rnacentral:lncRNA from 1 species
AGACCAGGGCCCUCCACCUGCCAGGCUCCUCGCCGCCCCGCUACCUGCAUGGUGGGGUCCGCGCUGCGGUUGCUGCAGCCCCCCCUUUGGCGGGUGCCAUUGUAGCCGAGGUCGGCGCUGAAGCGGUGCCACAGAUACUGCGUGGUGAGCGGGCCCUGCAGGACCAAGGCAAAGUUGGCCAGGAAGACCAGCGGCUCUACCGGGCCCCGGCAC